CCGAGACGGGCGGAUCACGAGGCCAGGAGAUCGAGAGACGAUCCCGGCUAACACGGUGAAACCCCGUCUCUACUAAAAAAUACAAAAAAAACUAGCCGGGCGAGGGUGGCGAGCCUGUAGUCCCAGCUACUCGGGAGGCUGAGGCAGGAGAACGGCGUAAACCCGGGAGGCGGAGCUUGCAGUGAGCUGAGAUCCGGCCACUGCACUCCAGCCUGGGUGACAGAGCAAGACUCCGUCUCAAAAAAAAGAAAAAGAGGUAAUAAUAAUAUAUAUUUUACAUAAUUUCUGUCAGAAUAUAAGUAAGUUGGAUAUGGUAUGUGAAAAAAAUAUUUUUCAAGAUGUCAAAUCUCACAGAUUGUUAAUCUGUUUGGCCAAGCUCCCUCCUAAUAAUAUCUCAUUUACUAACGUAUCAACAUAGUUUAUUAAUAAUGGUUUAUUCAAUCAGUUAGUUGUCACUCUGAAAAUCAAAUGGAAGAACUUUGAAAGGUGGGUAAGUUUUGAUGGAGUACAGCAGGAGGAAGAAAAAGUGGGGAGUUGGAAUCUAGGUGGAGAGGGCCAGGUUUGGUGGCUCCUGCCUGUAAUCCCAGCACUUUGGGAGGAUCACUCAAGCCCAGGAGUUUGAACCAGCCUGGGAAACAUGACAAGACCUCGUCGGUACUAAAAGUUAAAAAAAAAAAAAAAUGUUAGCUAGGUGUGGUGGUGUGCGUUACUUGGGAUGCCGAGGUGGGAGAAUUGCUUGAGCCCUGGAGGUCGAGGCUACAGUGAACCAGGAUUAUGCUACUGCACUCCAGCCUGGGUAGCAGAUAGAGAUCCUACCUCAAAAACAGAAAAAACAAAAAGAAUCUAGGUGGGGGCAUCGCAGGGGCCACUCCUGAGGAGCCAAGGGCAAAGCACAGAGAGGCCCAGGAGUUAGAAACCAGAUUUUAUACUCUGUGACUGGGAGAACCUGUUAACCCUCUUGGUCUGUUUCUUCAUCUGAAGUGGAAGGAUAAUAACACUACCUCCAAUAACUUGGAGGCUGUUGUAAUAUCACACGAGACCAUGGAUUGAAUAAUUUUUAGGGAUCAUCAACUGCCAUCUCCACAGAUGGGAGAUUAUCCUUCCUUUAUAAGAGUAUGGAUGAGAGGAUAAGAAGCAUACUUGAAAUAAACCUUGCCUAUUGUUACGGACCAAAUUGUCUCCCCUAAAUUUAUAUUUUGAAGUCCUAAUCCCCAGUGUGACUGUAUUUGGAGAUAAGCCCUUUAAAGAAGUAAUUAAGGUUAUAUAAGGUCAUAAGAGAGGGACUCUAAUCCAAUAGGACUGGUGUCCUUCUAAGAGGAAGAGACACCAGGGAUGUGCAGAGAGAAAAGGCCAUGGAAGAACACAGCAUUAAGACAGCCAUUGGCAUGCCCAGGAGAGACACCCCACAAGAAACCAACCCUGCCAAUAUCUUAAUCUUGGACUUCCAGCCUUCAUAACUGUGAAAAAUAAAUGUCCUGUUUAAGCCACCCAGUCUGUGGUAUUUUGUUAUGGCAGCCCUAGCAGAACUAAUACACCCACCUUACAGUUUUGCUUCCUUUACUCCUUCCCCCAGAACAGGUUCUCUCUUCAUACUUAAAGGCAUUGCACAAAAAUAGCUUCUGGUCAGCCAGUAAGGCAGGACGCAGUGUGACUAAUGGGCAGGACCAGGUGUUGGGACCUUAACCAGUCUAUUGGCAGGUUCUACUCCUGAACUGCUAAAUGGGUGGAACCAGCUUUGUCUGUUCUUAGACACCAAGUUUGUCUUCCAAGAUUCUGAGGCUCGACAGAAUGAUGAACUGUUUAAAGAACUUUUAGUCACAGGGAAGGAUGUAGGCCCACAAUUAAAGAUCAAUUUCCCCCUUCGUUAUCUGCUGGGUAAUUUGAAUAAAAAUAGGGGACAAGUAGGACAGGUGCGGUGGCUCACACCUGUAAUCCCAGCACUUUGGGAGACUGAGGCAGGCGGAUCACCUGAGGUCAGGAGUUCAAUAUCAGCCUGGCCAACAUGGCAAAACCCCGCCUCUACUAAAAACACAAAAAUAUAGCUGGGCAUGGUGGUGCAUGCCUGUAAUCCCAGCUACUGGGGAGGCUAAGGCAGGAGAAUUGCUUGAACCUGGGAGUGGAGGUUGCAGUGAGCCGAGAUCACGCCAUUGUACUCCAGCCUGGGCAACAGGGCAAGAUUGUCUCAAAAAAAAAAAA
ensembl:lncRNA